rnacentral:lncRNA from 1 species
UUGUUGCCGUCCAUUAGCUUCCCCGGCAAAGCAAGAGCCCCGCCGCCCGCCGACGCCGAGCCACCCACCACCCAGCGGCAUCUCCCCGCUUGCUUCCUUCGCCUCCACUCUACUCCAAGAACCCAGCGGCGGAGAUCGGUGGAGGUCGUCAUCACCAGAGCAACCGGCCGUAGAUGCGAGCGGGCGCGCUCCUGCUCCUCCACCGCCACCUCCACGACAGCGCCAUGGACGGCUACGGCCACACCGGCGGCGGCUCCAAGGCCGCGGAUUUCUCCUCCGCGAGGGGUCCCGCGGGGUUCCCGCCGCCUUUGCCGCCGGAGAAGCGGCGCGGGGCGGCGCUGGCGAGGCGCGGGAGCGUCGGGGCCGCCAGCGGCCCGGCGGGCAUCGGGGGAAGCUACCUGGGCGCGGAGGCGGCGGCGCUGCUGGCGUGCGUGACGGCCACGCUGCUGGUGCUGCCGCUGCUGCUGCCCCCGCUCCCGCCGCCGCCGCCGCUCUUCCUGCUCGUGCCCGUCGCCAUCUUCGCCGUCCUGGUCCUGCUCGUGCUCGUCCCCUCCGACGCCAGGGGCGCCGCCAGCACCGCUACGCCCUACUCCUCCUCCUAUAGUUAGCUACCUUAUUAGAUUGGGCGCCCGGCCUUGUCGUCAUGUAAAUGUAAUUAAACGCGGACUCGGUGUGCUCGUCUUGUUCUUCAGAGAUCAAUCCAUGGAGAGGCUUUUGUUUUGCUCGAUUCGAUCAGUCCCGAUUUCGUCGAUGGUUCUUCCCUCUCUGCAUUUGCUUCUGCAAGUACGACGGUGACAAACUGACAACCGUCGAAUUGACUUCAUUCUUGCAAAGUUGCAAUCCAGAAUUCGACCCGGACAUCGAUUCAGAUUUGGAUCCUGAACUCGUAGAGAUCUCUGAUGAUUCCGCCUCCGAGUCCGAGAGCUCUGCAUCAUUGAACUUAGAUGCAGAGCACAGCGACGAUCGAGUGGCAGCUCACGUGCCAGCAGCCAGAUGGGCCAGGGUGAUGUGGGGGCAGAUUCAGUUUCAACUAUCAACUUCCAAGGGAGUCAGAAACUCGUAC